UGAGGGUCUUACCCUUGCUUCCCCGACCUUUUUAUCCCGUACUUUUUUUUUUUUAUAUUAAUAUAUCCCUUAUCAAGUCAUUCACCUAUUCUCCCCUCUGAUCUUAAAAACCUCCACCCAAACCAAGCCUAACCCCAAAAUAAAUCCCUCAUCCUCUCAAUCUGCCGUCACUUGCUCUUCCCUUCUCCAUUGAAUCAAAACAUUGCAAUGGUAAAUAGGGGCUCUUUCUCUCCCCUCAAUUUACUUACUUUUCAUCCUUACAUUUUUCUGAAGUUCAAGAAAUCAUCUAGUUAACGGGAGAUGUGGAAAAAUAAACAACAUAAACCAUCAUCAAUCGCAUUCAACUUUUCCCAAUAUUGAACCCUAUUCAACGUAUACUUCAGUUUUUCAAUGGCAGAAAUAAGUUCAACCUCUUAUGCUAAUAGAUCUGGAAAUUAGGAAGAAUUGUUCUCUUAAAUGAUAAGCGGAAUUCCUAUCAAAAUUGAGAUUUGCGUGAUUUCGUCACAAGAAAUGCUCAAUCAAAAGGAGAUGAAGAUGGAGUAUUCAAGUCUUUAUUGAUGUAACUAUAAUUGUAAAUUUCAGUAAAAUUCAAUUUUUUUUUCUUUUUUCAGUUGCAAUUUUAUGUUGGAUAAUUUUUUUUGUAUCACAUCAAUUAUACUUUAAUCUAUUCAUUCUAUUGCUAAUUUCUGUGGUCUUAAA